CGUGCUUAACACAUGCAAGUCGAACGAGAACGGAUAUUAGCUUGCUAAUAUUGUCAGCUAAGUGGCGCACGGGUGAGUAAUAUAUAGUUAAUCUGCCUUAGAGAUAGGAAUAAUUGUUGGAAACGACUUGUAACUCCUAAUAUGCCUUUAAUACAUAAGUAUGCAAGGGAAACAUUUAUGGCUCUAAGAUGAGACUGUACAGUAUCAGAUAGUUGGUGGGGUAAUGGCCUACCAAGUCAAUGACGCUUAACUGGUUUGAGAGGAUGAUCAGUCACACUGGAACUGAGACACGGUCCAGACUCCUACGGGAGGCAGCAGUGGGGAAUAUUGCACAAUGGACGAAAGUCUGAUGCAGCAACGCCGCGUGGAGGAUGACACAUUUCGGUGCGUAAACUCCUUUUAUAUGAGAAGAUAAUGACGGUAUCAUAUGAAUAAGCACCGGCUAACUUCGUGCCAGCAGCCGCAGUAAUACGAGGGGUGCAAGCGUUACUCGGAAUCACUGGGCGUAAAGAGAAUGUAGGCGGUUAAUUAAGUUAGAAGUGAAAUCCUAUGGCUCAACCAUAGAACUGCUUCUAAAACUGAUUAACUAGAAUAUGGGAGAGGUAGAUGGAAUUUCUGGUGUAGGGGUAAAAUCCGUAGAGAUCAGAAGGAAUACCGAUUGCGAAGGCGAUCUACUGGAACAUUAUUGACGCUCAGAUUCGAAAGCGUGGGGAGCAAACAGGAUUAGGUACCCUGGUAGUCCACGCCCUAAACGAUGUACACUAGUUGUGCUAUGCUCGACAUAGCAGUAAUGCACCUAACGGAUUAAGUGUACCGCCUGGGGAGUACGGUCGCAAGAUUAAAACUCAAAGGAAUAGACGGGGACCCGCACAAGCGGUGGAGCAUGUGGUUUAAUUCGACGAUACGCGAAGAACCUUACCUGGCCUUGACAUAGAUAGAAUAUAGCAGAGAUGUAAUAGUGCUAGUUUACUAGAACUAUCAUACAGGUGCUGCACGGCUGUCGUCAGCUCGUGUCGUGAGAUGU
rnacentral:rRNA from 1 species